rnacentral:rRNA from 1 species
AGUGAACGCUGGCGGUAGGCCUAACACAUGCAAGUCGAACGGCAGCACAGUAAGAGCUUGCUCUUACGGGUGGCGAGUGGCGGACGGGUGAGGAAUACAUCGGAAUCUACUUUUUCGUGGGGGAUAACGUAGGGAAACUUACGCUAAUACCGCAUACGACCUACGGGUGAAAGCAGGAGAUCUUCGGACCUUUCGCGAUUGAAUGAGCCGAUGUCGGAUUAGCUAGUUGGCGGGGUAAAGGCCCACCAAGGUGACGAUCCGUAGCUGAUCUGAGAGGAUGAUCGGCCACACUGGAACUGAGACACGGUCCAGACUCCUACGGGAGGCAGCAGUGGGGAAUAUUGGACAAUGGGCGAAAGCCUGAUCCAGCCAUACCGCGUGGGUGAAGAAGGCCUUCGGGUUGUAAAGCCCUUUUGUUGGGAAAGAAAAGCAGCAGGUUAAUACCCCGCUGUUCUGACGGUACCCAAAGAAUAAGCACCGGCUAACUUCGUG